rnacentral:tRNA from 1 species
AACAAGGACGGCGAGGAGACGCUUCUUGAUUCGGUUGAAGGGAAGGGAAGCUAUGAAAUUCCUUAUGCCAACUUAUU